CUGCACGUACCAUUACCAUAAUAAACCUGGAGACAAAACAAAUAAUGAAAUCAAUUGCACUGGAUUCUAACAUUUAUGGCAUAGCCUUGAAAGGUAAUCAAUUGAUUUACGCUAGUGGAGACAAAGGUACACGAAUGAUCAAUCUGAACGACGAGUCAAUAAGUGACAUAGUCCUAGACGAAAUGCCAUUUUUAUGCUACACUGCAACUUUAAGGGACAACAUAUAUCAUACAAACAACGAGAAACACACUGUUGUUUGUUAUAACCUACAAGGUAAACUACAAUGGGCAUUCCAUAACGAAAGCGUUCUUAAGAGUCCUCGUGGUAUUGAUGUAGAUAACGAUGGCAAUGUGUACGUGGCGGGAUACAAAUCUCACAAUGUGGUAGUUAUCUCCACUGAUGGACAACGAC
rnacentral:lncRNA from 1 species